GGUGGACAAACCUCUUCUCAGCUCCCGGAAAGGAGCAUGGCAGAGAGCCUGUUAUCGUGGGUUGCCUGUGAAUAUGGAGGAAUCAGACAGGCAGCUGGAGGAUCUCUGGGUUACAGGUGCAGUGAGAGCUGAAGGUCUGAGCUGCACCACAGUCCAUAAUUUAUGAGAACAUAUCAAAAAUGAAGGACCCACAAUGUGACAGAUGAAGCUCAUCCAAACGAAAAUGAGAGAGGAAGAGAUUUCUUAGUCAUCAAUACUUAUGACAAAGCUUGGAAUUUUAUGGGUAAAGAGGGGAAUUCGAUAAAGCAGGAACUUGAACCUGGGUUUCCACAUCUGAG